GUACACUCCUGCGGGAGGUAGCAGUGGGGAAUUUUGGACAAUGGGCGAAAGCCUGAUCCAGCAAUGCCGCGUGAGUGAAGAAGGCCUUCGGGUUGUAAAGCUCUUUUGUCAGGGAAGAAACGGUGAAAGCUAAUAUCUUUUGCUAAUGACGGUACCUGAAGAAUAAGCACCGGCUAACUACGUGCCAGCAGCCGCGGUAAUACGUAGGGUGCAAGCGUUAAUCGGAAUUACUGGGCGUAAAGCGUGCGCAGGCGGUUUUGUAAGUCUGAUGUGAAAUCCCCGGGCUCAACCUGGGAAUUGCAUUGGAGACUGCAAGGCUAGAAUCUGGCAGAGGGGGGUAGAAUUCCACGUGUAGCAGUGAAAUGCGUAGAUAUGUGGAGGAACACCGAUGGCGAAGGCAGCCCCCUGGGUCAAGAUUGACGCUCAUGCACGAAAGCGUGGGGAGCAAACAGGAUUAGAAACCCGAGUAGUCCCAUGAU
rnacentral:rRNA from 1 species